AUGCUUUACACUUAUGAUUAAGGAAAACAACGACUCGAGGUGAUGCCCAAGUCCUUACUGCUAAUGUGAGAUGGAAUUUUUGAGUGGGUAAAGGUUGCCCCCUAAGACAACCCAUCUACUUUGAGGGAUGCCUGGGAGCGGUGUCUGCCUG
ensembl:snRNA U12 U12 minor spliceosomal RNA